GCACAUUCUGCAGACCUCAGAUCAUGGCAGCACUCUCGGGGCUCAGUUGAGCGGGGUGGAGGUGCUGAUGCUCCAGAGGAUUUGCAGGCCCAGCAAGUAAAAGCCCAAGCCUGUCCCACCUUGUCCUCAUGGACUGUACUUUCAGUUCACAGACAUGUAUCCGAGCCUGUUACAUAUGGAGGUAGCAGAACUCACGUUGGAAGAUAGCAUCUGGAGGUUAUGCCUGAAGAACAGCUGACACCUGCUGCAUCGAUGUCACGGGUGAAAAUGCUUUGGGGCUGUGUGGGCCUGCCGAGCACCUAGUGGGGGCUUUGGAGAGGUGUCAAUAGCCUGCCCGAUGCCUUUGUUCUAAUCAACUGUGAUGAGGAUGCCUGACUUUCCACCCCACUUCUCUGGCCUCCAGUUAACUGAAAAACAGGUCCCUGGAUACCCAGCUUCCAGCCUGAUUCUCUUGACUCCUUGAAGAACUUGCACAAGCCAGGGAUCUUCCCAGCCCAGCAAUCAAACCCGGGUCUCCUGCAUUGCAGACAGACGCUUUACUGUCUGAGCCACCAGGGAAGCCCUUAGACAAGAGCACUCUGAAAUCCCCAAGUCCAGCACAAUGGCUACUGGAAAGCUCUGUCCUUUCCCCUUCCCUUGGAAGACGUUUUUGACUUCUGUCUGGAACAGGUGUUCCCACCCUGCCCUUCCCGAAUAGCCUAUGCUCACCGCUUGAUAAAAAGACAGUCACCUACAGUUACCUCCUCCUAUUUCUAAAUCCAUCACUAUGCGGUAAGUGUCAAGAGCCCAGGUGCCGUCUUCUAUGGAUACUGCUGCAUCCAUACUGUCUGACCCUAACAGACUAGGCGCUCAGUAUCUGGGGAAUGAAUACGUGACCCUAACAGACUAGGCGCUCAGUACCUGGGGAAUGAAUACGUGAAAGAACAAAGAGGGAAGCAGGCAGACAGAAAAGGAGAGGCGGUGUUUGUUUAUUUAGUAACAGCUCUACUGAGAUAUAAUUCACUCGUUAGAUGUACAAUUCAGUUGUUUUUAGUUAUUUAUUUCUGAAUCAGCUGACUUUAAGAGUAACUUAGUUACAGG
ensembl:lncRNA